rnacentral:rRNA from 1 species
GCAAGUCGAACGAGAAAGCUUCUUCGGAAGUGAGUAUAGUGGCGCACGGGUGAGUAACACGUGGGUAACCUGCCCUUUGGAGGGGGAUAACAUUUGGAAACGAAUGCUAAUACCGCAUAAGUCGGCUUCGGCCGGGAAAGGUGGCUUUUGCUACCGCCAGAGGAUGGGCCCGCGUCCCAUCAGUUAGUUGGUAAGGUAACGGCUUACCAAGGCUACGACGGGUAGCUGGUCUGAGAGGAUGAUC